rnacentral:misc_RNA from 1 species
UCAGUGUCUAGGUGUCCUGGG